AGUUCAAGGGAACAGGGUAGGAGACAGAGACGUAAACACUCCGGUAGCUCUCCUUCUGUUUCUCCUGCGCCUUGUCCAUGUUCUGUCUCACCUUGAUUGAUGACAGGAAUACAUGCAAUUAUAUUUCAUAUUACAAAUACAUUUCUUACAUAUCUCUUGGAGGGACAGAAAAUAAAUUAACAGCGGACAAUCAUUUUUACCUGGUCAAAAACCUCCACGUCCUUCUCAGUCUGUGCCUGAAGGUAGUACUCAAAGGCGUUCCGAUCUGGUUCGACAACUUCCACCACAUCAGUCAACAGCUGCGGCUCCUGUCCAUACUCAGCCUGGAUGCUGCUGUUGUGUGCAAAGAGAAUUAAUUACCUUCAGGUUGUUCUCCCACCCUUCCUGAUACCAAUCAAGGGACUUGCCCAUGGCAGUCUUGAGGGUCUGGUUGGUCAUUCACCAAACCUGGAGGAGGGGGUAGGAAAGCAAUAUCUAUUGACAAUGUACUUUAAGAUAUUGAAAUAUAUCUGAUUGUGUACCAUGGAAAAACAAAAACAAAUUGUAAAAAAUAAAUAUAACAAACCAUUGGUGACAGAAUAUAACCUAUAACAUACUUACCUUGUUCCAGCAUUCAUGACCUCGGUCAUUCAAAAUGACCUCAGGAGAACCGUGGGUGUUGAAGAUGUCCACUAUUGCCUUGGCCUCGCUAGUCUCGUCCUUGAUGGUUAUCAUACAAAACAAAAAUCUUUUUUUGGUUCCAACCACCCUUUUAAAUGGUUACAGAAGGGAAUUUAGAGUUAAGCACGUACACUUCCUUUACUGACCUUAAUGGGUAUGAUCAGUCGCCGUCAGACACCAACUGUUGCCACUCAUGGAUUUCGUGAAGGGUUCGAUGAGGUCCACUCCUAACAUUUAAAGUGUUAGAGAGAUUUCAAUCAAAUGUAUUUAUAAAGCCCUUUUUACAUCAGCCGAUGUCACAAAGUGCUAUACAGAAACCCAGCCUAAAACCCCAAACAGCAAGCAAUGCAGAUGUGGAAGCACGGUUGCUAGGAAAAACUCCAUAGAAAGGAACCUAGGAAGAAACCUAGAGUGGAACCAGGCUCUGAGGGGUGGCCAGUCCUCUUUUGGCUGUACCGGGUGAAGAUAUAACAGUACAUGGCCAAGAUGUUCAAACAUUCACAUCAGGUCUGGGACAGGUAGCACGUCCAGUGAACAGGUCAGGGUUCCAUAGCCGCAGGCAAAACAGUUGAAACUGGAGCAGCAGCAUGACCAGGUGGACUGGGGACAGCAAGGAGUCAUCAGGCCAGUUAGUCCUGAGGCUUGGUCCUAGGGCUCAGGUCCUCUGAGAGAAGAGAACGAGAAAGAGCGAGAGAAUUAGAGGGAGCAUACUUAAAUUUACACAAAACACCAGAUAAGACAGGAGAAAUACUCCAGAUAUAACAGACUGACCCUAGCCCCCUGACAUAAAUUAUUUCAGCAUAAUUACUGGAGGCUGAGACAGGGCCAACCAGGCAGGAUAUAACCCCACCCACUUUGACAAAGUACAGCCCCCACCAACUUACUAUCCUGAGACAAGGCCGAGUAUAGCCCAUGAAGAUCUCCCCUACGGCACGACCCCGAGGGGGGAACCAACCCGUACAGGAAGAUCACGUCAGUGACUCAAACCACUCAAGUGACGCACCCCUCCUAGGGACGGCAUGGAAGAGCACCAGUAAGCCAAUGACUCAGCCCGGUAAUAGGGUUAGAGGCAGAGAAUCCCAGUGGAGAGAGGGGAAAAUACUUAAAGGUCGAGACUGAGUCUGCUUCUCACAUGGAUAGUCAGACCAUUCCAUAACAAUUGAGCUCUAUAGGAGAAAGCCUUGCCUCCAGCUGUUUGCUUAGAAAUUCUGGGGACAAUAAGGAGGCCUGCGUAUUGUGACCGUAGCGUACGUGUAGGUAUGUACGGCAGGACCAAAUCGGAAAGAUAGAUAGGAGCAAGCCCAUGUGAAGCUUUGAAGGUUAGCAGUAAAACCUUGAAAUCAGCCGUAGCCUUAACGGGAAGCCAGUGUAGAGGCUAGCACUGGAGUAAUAUGAUCAAAUGUUUUGGUUCUAG
rnacentral:lncRNA from 13 species